ensembl:lncRNA
GAUGAAGGAAACAGACUUCCCUCUGGUAGGAGCAGUGUGACUCAGAGAAGGUUCCCUAUGGAUAUCCUACCUUUCCAUAAAGAAGAAUGAAAUUCUCUUGUUUUCAGGAAAAUGUAUAGAACUACUAAAUGGAAGUGUCAUCCUAAGUGAAAUAAGCCAGACUCAUGAGACCCAGAUCGCAUGCUUCCUCCCACAUGUGGGAUCUGAAGGCCAUUACUAGGGAUGUGGAAGUGAAAAAAUGGAGAGGAAGAGUGGAAUAAAAUGACAAUAGAGAGGACGAAAAGGCUCAAAAUACACUAUAGGCAUAUAUGGAACGGUCACAAUGAGCUUUGUGUAACUAAAAGAUAAUAAACACAAAAAAGACCAGCUGUUAUUUAGGCAGAAUUUUAAGUGAAGGCCUCAUUAAUGUUCUAGUCUUAGGUGGCCAGAGAGCAAAGAAAAAAGAGCUCCUUAUUCCCACCCACCCUUGCAGGUCCCUCAGAAGACCACACCCAAGGCAAGUACGAUUUUAAAAAUAUUGCCCUUGUUUGGCAGAGUGGGCCAGUUGUACUUUGUCAUUUUCUUCUGUUUGACCUUGGAAACAAGGCUAACACACAUAUUUGAUAUAUUUUCAUUUGGAAAUCCCCCCUCAAAUAGCAAACUUUUAGCUCAGCUUUAUUACAUUCCCAAGGUCAUAAUCAUCCCAGGACCUGUAAUCUGAGAUUCACGUAGCACAGAGGCUAGGGCCACAGGAAGGAACAGGAGGCAAGAAUGCAAAAUUCACCAUGGAGUAACUACUGGUUGAAGUUGAUGCAGAGAAUUCUGGACCUUGAGGACAAAGACUAGUAUGUACCCAGGCAAGCUGGCUGGAUCCGACUGAAGGCCCACAAAGACAGGCAACAACAGAUUGAUACUGCAACAUGGCUACAGCAGCACAGGAUUGAAGAAUCAAGAAAGAGGACUGAGUAAUUUACUGAAAUCAUACAAGAAUGGCUGCACCCAUGAACUCGUAGAAUUACGGUUACUUGCUGCGGGCCGUUGGCGGUGCACACCUUUAAUCCCAGCACUUGGGAGGCAGAAGCAGGCAGAUCUCUGUGAGUUCAAGGCCAGCCUGGUCUAUCGAGUGAGUUCCAGGACAGGCUCCAAAACAAUACAGAGAAAACAGCAUGGAACAUGGAGAGAUUUUCUUUAUAAAAUUUUGAAUUCAUAAGAUGUCAUGACACCUCAUUUUGAUGGAAUGAACCUUUAAGCCUUCAUCCAGAAGCUGAUGGAAAUAGAAGCAGACACCCACAGCUAAACACUGAACUGAACUGGAAUCCAGUCACAGAGAGGGAGGAGUGAUGAGCAAAAGGGUCAAGACCAGGCUGGUGAAACCCACAGAAACAGCUGACCUGAACAAGGAGGAGCUCAUGGUCCCCAGACUGAUAGCUGGGAAACCAGCAUGGGACUGAUCCAGAUCCCAUGAACAUGGGUGUCAGUGAGGAGACCUCGGAAAUCUAUGGGGCCUCUUGUAGUAGAUCAGUACUUAUCCUUAGCAUAGGAAUGGACUUUGGGAGCCCAUUCCACAUAGAGGGAUACUCCUUCAACCUAGAUACAUGGGGAAGGGCCUAGGCCCUAUCCCAAAGGAUGUGACAGAUCCUGAAGACACCUUCCAUGGAAGGCCUCACCCUUCCUGGGGAGCAGAUAUGGUAUGGGAUAGAUAGGGUGUUAGUAGGAGGCAGGGGAGGAGGGGAGGGAAAGGGGACUGGGAUUGACAUGUAAAACAAACUUGUUUCUAAAUUAAAUAAAAAAUGAAAAAAAAAGAUUCAAAUUGAAUCCUCGAUUCUUGGUAUUCUACAGACUCACCCCCAACCCGUUCCAGAGCACUGAGCAAAUAGGAGGAACUAGAAAAUAUUCUUUUUGAUUAAUGUGGAAGAGUGGAAGCUCAGAUGGGAAUGCUGGGUAGUCUAAGCAGCCGCUGAGGCAUGCCCCUCAAUGGAUUUCUCUAAUCCCACGGAAACUCAGAACAACCCCUAAGGGACAUGCUUCCACACCUCUAUUACAGCUAAGAGACCUGAGGUACAGACAGAAUAGAGGGA